rnacentral:misc_RNA from 1 species
GAUGAAGAACGCAGCGAAAUGCGAUAAGUAAUGCGAAUUGCAGAAUUCCAGUGAGUCAUCGAAUCUUUGAACGCACAUUGCGCCCCUUGGUAUUCCUUGGGGCAUGCCUGUUCGAGCGUCACUACAAACCCGCUCAUACAUAUUAUAUGGUAUUGAUGGAAGUGGACCGUGGUUACUAAUAAUGUAUCUGGAUCACCCCAUUGAAAUGUAUAGGCAGGACAGUAAACCUCUGCAAUGGACUUAGUAACUGUUGUGAAAACAUAGACCAGUCCUUUGCCUGGUUCCAGCCUGGCCUCCAUGGACCUCUAUCCAAGAUGAACUCUGGGUUGACCUCGGAUCAGGUAGGGAUACCCGCUGAACUUAAGCAUAUCAAUAAGCGGAGGA